CCUACCCGCCACCGCCGUCGCCCCCGAACCCUAGAACCAGCUCACCGUCGCCAUCUCCACUGCGCCACCCGGACCUCAUCUCCCUCCUCCUCCGCUGUCGCCUCGGCUGCCGACUACGCCGCUGCCUCGGCCGUCGCAAUGCAUAGCCAACAUAAUUUCCAUCUAGGCCGUUGCUGCCUCCUGCAUGCCAUUCACCUGUCAACAUCGCCGCUGCCUCGAUGCCAUCCACCCGUCGCCAUCGUGGCUGCCAGUCCGAUGUUGACGAUUGCAGGUCAUCGUCUUCAUCUUCAAGCACAUUGUAGCUUGAUUAUGAAGAGCCACCUCACCGGGUCAUUGAAGGCUUGCAACUUGGGGCUAGAUAGUGAAUGGGGCAAAUUAUGUCUUCUGUGCGUCUGGUUUACUCGGAGGAAAAAAGAAAUCAAAGUUAAGGAAAAAUUGGAGGGUACUAGCAUACUGCAUGCUCACAAGAUGUAUUUCAAUAAUUUCACAAGAUUGGAGGGUAUGUUAACUUGCUGAUUUAACAGAAAUAAAUUGCCAUUCACAAGGGAUGCGUCUACAAAACAAAAGGCAAAAGGUUAUCCAUGUACUUAUGCACCUAAAAGCAACAUUGUCAUCAAGGGUACUUAUGUAUGCUAUAUACAGACAGUCAGGAAUAUAACACAUUAACACUUGAAUAGCAGAGGCUAUAAUGAGAGAAGCAGAGGUUCAUGAUGAUGCAGCUGCUUGUAUUUCAAUUUGUUAUAUUUUGUUUUUUUAUUCAUUGAUUAAGGAGAAACACAUAAUUAUUUUUCCAUUUUUUUAUGCAUGUAACCGUACUGCCAAUUCCAAAAGAUCAAGGUUCACAAUAUUUGGUGCAUUGAUAUUUGCACUAUACUUGUAAAAAAACACAAAUUUUGCUUGUUUGAGACA